UACGACUACAUAUCAGGCAUAUCAAUAAGCGGAGGAAAAGAAAGCUAACUAGGAUUCCCUCAGUAACGGCGAGUGAAGCGGGAAGAGCUCAAAUUUGAAAUCUUCAAGGUUUUACCUUGACGAAUUGUAGUUUAAAGAAGUGUUUUCUGUUGGAAGUUUUGGUAAAAGUUCUUUGGAAUAGGACAUCAUAGAGGGUGAGAAUCCCGUAUUUGACCAUUAUUUUCAGCUGUGUGAUACACUUUCAAAGAGUCGGAUUGUUUGGGAAUGCAGUCCAAAAUGGGUGGUAAAUUUCAUCUAAAGCUAAAUAUUGGCGAGAGACCGAUAGCGAACAAGUACCGUGAGGGAAAGAUGAAAAGAACUUUGAAAAGAGAGUUAAACAGUACGUGAAAUUGUCAAAAGGGAAGCGUUUGACACCAGUGUUGUUUUCUCGAAAAUCAAUUAGAAAAAGGCAGGAUUUUGUGUUGUAUUGACUUUAUCAGCUUUCUGCACUCUUUUCUUGUCUUUUUUAAUGCACUUUUCGUUUAACAAGUCAACAUCAAUUUCUUUUGUUGUAAAAGGGUCAUUGGAAGGUGGCUUUCUUUUCGGAGAAAGUGUUUAUAGCCUUUGGCCUCUGCAAUCGGAGAGAUUGAGGUCUGCAGCGUAGAUCCUUCGGGGUUAGAUACAUUUGUGCUAAGCUACAGCUUUUCAUAGACAACUUGUUGACUAUGUUUAGUCUUGUGACUUACCCGCUUAUGCUAUUUUACCUACGCUUAGGAUGUUGAGCGCAUGUCUCUCUCU
rnacentral:rRNA from 1 species